GCGAGUGUACAGCUGCUGAGCUAUGAUCAGUCAUUUGAAAUUCAAUUGUUUGUAACGACUAUGUGGAUUUGAUUUGCAAACGAUAGAUAUAUCUGCAUAUUGAUAGUAAUUUUACUAGUGAAGUUGAUUCGGAUGUUUGAAAAAAAUUGCGAUUCAUUUGUUUGCGAGAACUGCGGUGAUGUCUGCUUGUUUUUCCUCAGAGAGUAGAAUCAGCCCCUUGCCAACAGCAAGCUCUAAAAUCGUCUUGAGAAUGACGCAAAAUCUUCGGUAAUCGAGAGCGAUGGACACGCAGAGAGCAAAUGUGAGGUCGCUCCUCAAUGACAAUUCGAUCACCACUAGGGAUGGUAAAGUCGACAGAAGUUAAAGGUGCAGCUACAUAGAAGGGCACGCCAUGGUGUUUAGCAACAACUGCAAUCUGCACAAAUGAAAUUCACACUUGUUCUGCAAUCUAAAACUACAAUAUGAUAUCACCAUUGGCCACAACUCGAUCAGCACCUACAAUAACUGCAGAAAUGGUUCUGGAUCUCAUUAAUGCUGCAACCAUAUCAUCGCAU
rnacentral:lncRNA from 1 species